AUCAAACCAGCCACCAAAUUGUUGGUUAUAUUAGUAGCGUGAAGAUGUACAAUUUGAAAACAGAAAAUAACUUUUAGUUUCAGCAAGUGUCGAUUGACAAAACAUGGUCUGUCAAAACCUCUAGGAAGUAUGUUGUUGGAUAUAGUAUGAUGUUGGACAAAGUAGGCUGUUGGAUAAAGUUUAUAGGAUAUGAUCUAGCUUCACGGUUCCA
rnacentral:sRNA from 1 species